rnacentral:sRNA from 1 species
ACCAGACGGAGCCUCCGGAGUUCCUCCGCCCCCACCUCGCCGGGUCCUGGAGCCGCGGUCCUCCCAGCUGCCCUCCUCGUGGCCAUGGAGUGUCCACACCUGAGCUCCAGCGUCUGCAUUGCUCCGGACUCAGCCAAGUUCCCCAACGGCUCCCCGUCGUCCUGGUGCUGCAGCGGUCUUUGGUAGAAGAGUUUAGAAAGACACUCUGUGCUUUAUGGCAAGGCAGCCAGACUGCAUUUAGCCCAGAGUCCUUAUUUUAUGUUGUUUGGAAGAUUAUGCCAAACUUUAGGGGCUAUCAACAGCAGGACGCCCAUGAAUUCAUGCGCUACCUUUUGGACCACCUACACUUGGAACUCCAGGGCGGUUUCAACGGUGUUUCCCGCUCGGCAAUUCUGCAGGAGAAUUCUACUCUGUCUGCAAGUAACAAGUGUUGCAUAAAUGGAGCAUCUACUGUUGUCACGGCUAUAUUCGGAGGCAUUCUCCAAAAUGAGGUUAACUGCCUCAUAUGUGGGACAGAAUCUAGAAAGUUUGAUCCAUUCCUAG